rnacentral:rRNA from 1 species
UACAGAGGGUGCGAGCGUUGUCCGGAAUCACUGGGCGUAAAGGGCGCGUAGGUGGCGACCCAAGUCGAUGGUGAAAGCUCGCCGCUCAACGGCGAGUCGGCCACCGAUACUGGGUUGCUUGAGCACUGUAGAGGCUAAUGGGAAUUCCUGGUGUAGCGGUGGAAUGCGCAGAUAUCAGGAGGAACACCGAUGGCGAAGGCAGAUCUCUGGGCCGUAACUGACGCUGGAGGAGCGAAAGGCGUGGGGAGCGAACAGG